ACACUUCUUAUAUCUCAACUUGGUAUGAAAGCCAAUACAUUUAUUUUUAAGCCCUAUUCUACAUGAAUCCUAAUCAAUACAUCACAUGUGCUCUCAACUGUGCUACUGAUAGAUUUGUUAUACCAAUCCUUCCCUCUAUUCUUCCCAUGGGUCCUUCAUCUUCUCUGAUUAUCCCACAGUUGCAAGCCUUCGCACCAACGUUUUAUUCCUUUUUUAUUAUGACAUUUGGUUCUUCACCUCUACUAUUGUUCAACAACUAUCAUCCUUUGCAUCAACGUUUUAUUCAUCUUCUCUGUUUACUGGCAAGCUCCCGAUUGCUCCUCUUGUUGCUGGUUUAAAUCCUUCUGCUCUUAUUUUUCACAUCAAUUGUGUGGUUACCUUAGCCCACACAUAACAGGUUAUUUCUUUAAAACUAUCUCAUAACAACUAUUUGUAUUUGAGGAUGCAAAUGAAACCUUAUCUCCUAGGCCAGGGUGUUUACUCCUUUGUUGAUGGUUCUCUAUCUUGCCCUCCUUCUCAUAUUAUAUCAUCAUAUCUUCGGUUGUUCAUGUCCCAAAUCCAGCAUUUAUGUCAUGGAAACAACAAGAUCAUUUGAUUAUAAGUAUUGUUCUGUCCUCUUUGUCUACUGAACUCUUACACUUAGUUGUUGACUGCCACACCUCGUCUUCUAUCUCUUGAGCAAGCUCUUGAAUCUCCAUCAAAUUCUUGUAUUAUACAUCUCCAUGGAUCUUUGCAAGACAUAAAACAGGGUGAUUACAUGGCCAUUGUCUAUUUACAAAAGGCCAGAUCUCUAUUUGAUGAACUUGCGGUUGCUAGAUGACUAAUUACGUUAAAGGACUUCAAUCUCUAUGUCUUCAAGGGUCUGCGUGGAAAAUUCAUAGACUUGGUUACUAGGUUCUCCACAAAAGCUGAGCAUUUUACUUCCAUUGAGUUCCAAGUCUUUCAUUUAUGUCGUUGUUUCAAUUCCAGUCCUUAUCUUUUCAAUUUAUGUAAUCUCAGUCAACUUAACCUUAAAAUCAAUUUUUCUUCAAUUUCACUCCUG
rnacentral:lncRNA from 1 species